UGUUGCAUUUGAAGAAAAACGUACUUAAUCAAUGAGAUCAAUGAAAAUAAUUUAUAAACUGAAAAGUAUGCACCCCAAAGCAAGCUAUUCACCCAUAGAAUUAAUUAAAAUUGAAUUAUAUGAUGUAAAAUGGUGCUUAAUGUGUUUAAAAUUUACUAAAUGGCUUGAAACAUAAACUAAUUCUACUCCGUUUUAAAACAAGUUUGCGAAUUUACCAGUGUGCUCACAGCAACCCAGCGACACGACGGCCAUUUUUGUUAACGUCAUUGACGAGCCACCGAAAAAUAUUGUCGUCUGUGCUUGGGCGAGGAUCAUUUGCUGCUUUUACCGUGAAAAAUAUACGCAAAAAUUAGAGAAAAUUACGAUAAUUAACACCGAAAUCGGUAAUUGAUAUACCAGUUAUAAGAAUUAGUAAAAGAAUCGCAAAAAAUGUUCUAUGAAAAACGCGGUUUUUCUUAGCCGAAAGUGUGAAAAAACGGUGGAGAAAAAUUUUACAUCAGCAAAAGAGACGAAAGGAAAAUUUUGUGUGUACCAACGAAACUGCGACGAAAGCGUAACUGGGAACGGAUAAACAAGGCGAAGUGUGAGUGCGAAAGAGUACGCGGUAGUUGAUGGGUAGCUGAAAGGCGGUGGGAAAGAGAGCGUAUUGUGUUUGCAUUUUGUCUUUCGAAUACAAGGAAAAGGAAUUUUCGCAUUGCGGGUGUAGAGUAGGUGGUGGCCACUAAAAUUCAAAUGGAAAUGAUGGAAAGUUAUGAGGAACCACAUAUUGGACCAUCACAUGCGGAUCAGUGUGAUUUACAUGAUGUGAAAAUUCAUGAAACAUGUCUAUCGGCCAAUUGCACUACUUUGAUGGCCACUAAACAGAAUUUCGAUUUUGGCGCCGAAAUUGUUGGAACACAAGCAAUAGAACCGGAACGCGAAAGCGAUAUAAAAACAAACGGCGAAAGCAUAGCAACAACUGCAACAGUAGCAACAGUGGCGGUAGCAGCAUCCUCCACCUCGCCCAAUGUAAAUCAAUCAUCAAAUAUAGAAACACCAUUGAACGUAGCCGAAUUACCUAUAAAGGGUACUUUAGCUAACGAUCAUGGCAGCCAGAUUGAUGAAGAUGAAGUUGACAACGACGGCGGUGAAAGUUAUCAAUCAGAUGAUGAUGAUAUGGACGAAGACGGUAAUGAGGACUACCAACAAGAGUGCAGAGGUAAUAUGCAUAAUGAUGCCUCACUUGAUAGCGAUGAGUCCACAUCCGACUCGGAUUUCUCUGACUUAAGUGGCCUAUCGGACAUGUCUGGCCGGGAAUGGAAACCAAUAAGCGCCAGGCCUAUCAAUUGGGUACAGAAACAAAUACACGCUGGUGCUAAUCCCCGUGACUUGCUUUCACAAAUGUUGCCUUCCAACACACACCCGAUUGCGCCGGGUGUGAAUGAUAUGAUGUUAUGGCGUAUACUUGCUAGCAUGUUGUCAGAGCCACCAAGGCGUCAAAAACUACGUUAUAUAAACACAUUCGAGGAUGUUAUUCAGCUAAUUCAGCAAUCUAAAAAUAUAAUUGUUUUAACCGGCGCUGGCGUGUCAGUAUCUUGUGGCAUACCAGAUUUCCGCUCUAGUGACGGCAUCUACUGCCGCCUGGCCAAGGACUUUCCUAAUUUGCCCGAUCCGCAAGCUAUGUUCGAUAUCAGUUACUUCUCACGUGAUCCACGACCAUUCUUCAAGUUUGCGCGCGAAAUAUAUCCCGGACAAUUUAAACCAUCACCUUGUCAUCGUUUUAUAAAAUUGCUUGAAGAGAAGCAGAAAUUGUUGCGCAAUUACACACAAAAUAUAGACACUUUGGAGAAGGUAGCUGGCAUAAAGAACGUUAUAGAAUGCCAUGGCUCGUUUUCGACGGCUUCGUGCACGAAAUGCAAAGUCAAAUGUACAGCAGAUGCUAUACGAGAUGAUAUCUUCUCGCAACGCAUACCCGUAUGUCCACGUUGUCAGCCCAAUGUGCAUCAGAGUGUUAAUGCUUCUGAUGCAGUGUCGGAUGCAGAUUUGAGACAGCUUGUGGAGAAUGGCAUAAUGAAGCCAGAUAUUGUUUUCUUCGGGGAAGGUCUUCCCGAAGAAUUCCACACUGUCAUGGCGGGUGACAAAGACAGAUGUGACCUGUUGAUUGUUAUAGGUUCUUCCCUCAAAGUGCGGCCGGUAGCGUUAAUUCCUAGCUCAAUACCAGCCAAUGUGCCGCAGAUACUCAUCAAUCGGGAGCAGCUGCAUCAUCUCGAGUUCGAUGUUGAAUUGUUGGGUGAUUCCGAUGUUAUCAUUAAUCAAUUAUGUCAUCGCCUAGGUGAUGAUUGGAAAGACAUCUGCUAUGAUAACUUCAUAUUGAAGGAAUCCAAGGAACUCUUACCAGUGGAGGAGGAAGACACUAACGAUGAAAGUGAGGAAGAUGGCCAACAGAUGCUAGAUACAGACACACAAUCAGUUAAGUCGAGCGCAUCCACAGAUUUGGCGCUACGUUCGGCAGUUGCUUACUCGGAUAGCGGGUUCGAAUCGUCAACAUCAUCUGGCAUGGUACUUGCUAAACAAAAUAUUGCAGCGGCUAGUAAUGAGGCUAAGGAGGCAAUAGAAAAAAUCAAAACCACUAUAUUGGAGAUGCAUCAGCCAUUGACAAAGACACGUCAGGGUAGCAAGCCAGGGUCAGUUAAUUACUUAGAAGAGCCUAGUGAUGCUGUAGAUUUCGAAACUCGUUCCUUUCAACCAUUUAAUGAGCGCGUAAGUGAGCAGUACCACCACCACACGACAUGCGGUGCGAAUACACGUCAUCCGUCAGUUGAUUCAACCAAGGACAGUGGUAUAGUGGCCGACUGCUCCAUUUCUGCGCAGAUUUCAAACAAUGUCAUUGGCAUUCUGCCGCCACCAAUUACAAAUUUUGGUGAUAGUGGAGGCACAAAAGCUAUGAAUGACCCCUUCACAGCUCUACCAACCUGCACAGAUAACAAAACUACACCCGCAGCAACAGUAACAAGGAUAGAGUCACCGCCGCCACCGCAAAUGGUAAGCGAUACAGAGAAAAUAUCAACAGCGGUCACAAUACGUCGCAGUGCUAAGAAAUACCGUACUGCAGCGGAACGUUUGCUCGAAGGUACAUACUAUGCGCAUGAAACCGUUUCAGCUUAUGUAUUCCCCGGCGCACAAGUCUCAUGGUCGUCCGAUGUCGAAGAAGAGGAUGAAGAAAAUGGCAUUAUUGGAAAUAUAUACGAUGACGUCGAUGAGGAUGAUAUCGAUGCAAAUGGCGGUCCGCUCUCACCACUCUUGCCGCCGUCUGUGGAAGCAGAAGUAGUAAGUGAAAUAACAACAACAAGUGCAUUUGCAAUUUGCGCCAAGCGAACGCUACCCGCGUCAUACAGCAUCAGCGGCGAAAUUAACCAAGCGGCGGAUAUGGAACUGCAAACCGAUAGCAAUAAAAAUUCGAGUGUACCAAGCAAUACAACAGCAACAACCUGCAGCGCUACGGAAACCACAUGCGACAGAGUAAGUGUGACAAUGCCGCCUUCUCCAUCACCAUCGCCGCAAAAGAGAGCUUGUGAAUGCCCUCCAACACUUGGUGGUAGCGACAGCAAUGUCGAAACAAACGAUAGCAGUAGGAGUAGUAAUAUUGGUAAAUCUGAAUGCCAUGCGCCCCCCUUAAAGCGUAAGCGCUCAACAGAUGAUCAGAAAAAUUUGGUCGAUGUGUUUCCGGAAGUGUGUAUUGAUGCAACGCAAAGCGGUAAUAUUAAUGACACACCUCUUUUGAGUAGUGGUGUUGGUGGCGCAGACGCCGUGUCGCCAAAGGAGUAUGCAACACAGCUGGUGCAGAAUUAAGAUUACCACUCUUCCGGUUCCGAUUGAUUCGACAGCAGCAAACUUAUUGGAAGUCAUAUAAGAAGAAAAACUACUACAACAAACACAAAACAAAAUAUUUGCAAUUUUAGAUGCAGUUAAAUUGGAAGCUAGAACUAGGCGAUAUGAAAAUAAUAAUAAAAAAAUCAGGCAGCAAGAGCGCGCGUGGAUGGUAUGGAUAC